GAUGAACGCUGGCGGCGUGCCUAAUACAUGCAAGUCGAGCGAACGGACGAGAAGCUUGCUUUUCUGAUGUUAGCGGCGGACGGGUGAGUAACACGUGGAUAACCUACCUCUUAGACUUGGAUAACUUCGGGAAACCGGAGCUACUACCGGGUCAUAUUUUGAACCGCAUGGUUCAAAAGUGAAUGACGGUCUUGAUGUCACUUAUAGAUGGAUCCGCGCUGCAUUAGCUAGUUGGUAAGGUAACGGCUUACCAAGGCAACGAUGCAUAGCCGACCUGAGAGAGUGAUCGGCCACACGAGAACUGAGACAGGGACAAGACUCCUACGGGAGGGAGCAGUAGGGAAUCUGCGGCAGUGGGCGAAAGCCUGACGGAGCAAGGCCGCGUGAGUGAUGAAGGUCUUCGGUGCGUAAAGCUGUGUUAUUGGUGAAGAACAUAUGUGUAAGGAACUGUACACAUCGUGACGGUACCUAAACAGAAAGCCACGGCUAACUACGUG
rnacentral:rRNA from 1 species